AGUGAACGCUGGCGGUAGGCCUAACACAUGCAAGUCGAACGGCAGCACAGUAAGAGCUUGCUCUUACGGGUGGCGAGUGGCGGACGGGUGAGGAAUACAUCGGAAUCUACUUUUUCGUGGGGGAUAACGUAGGGAAACUUACGCUAAUACCGCAUACGACCUACGGGUGAAAGCAGGGGAUCUUAGGACCUUGCGCGAUUGAAUGAGCCGAUGUCGGAUUAGCUAGUUGGCGGGGUAAAGGCCCACCAAGGCGACGAUCCGUAGCUGGUCUGAGAGGAUGAUCAGCCACACUGGAACUGAGACACGGUCCAGACUCCUACGGGAGGCAGCAGUGGGGAAUAUUGGACAAAGGGCGAAAGCCUGAUCCAGCCAUACCGCGUGGGUGAAGAAGGCCUUCGGGUUGUAAAGCCCUUUUGUUUGGAAAGAAAAGCAGCAGGUUAAUACCCCGCUGUUCUGACGGUACCCAAAGAAUAAGCACCGGCUAACUUCGUG
rnacentral:rRNA from 1 species